rnacentral:rRNA from 1 species
UACGUAGGUGGCAAGCGUUAUCCGGAAUUAUUGGGCGUAAAGGGCGCGUAGGCGGCCAUCUAAGUCACACGUGAAAUCCCUCAGCUUAACUGGGGAACUGCGUGUGAGACUGGCAGGCUCGAGGGCAGGAGAGGAACGCGGAAUUCCAGGUGUAGCGGUGAAAUGCGUAGAUAUCUGGAGGAACACCGGUGGCGAAGGCGGCGUUCUGGACUGUCUCUGACACUGAAGAACGAAAGCCAGGGGAGCAAACGGG